AGCACAGGGCUGUGAGCAGAGUGACAUAAGACACCCUCAGCUGCCUUCCCUGCUGGGGAGAACAAGACAGCUGAAUGCUUAGAGGGAAGAAGUGGGAAGGCAAGGGCCUCAAUCCCUUCAUUCUGCAGUGGCAAAGGACAUAGCUCUCUGAGGAACCUUUUCAGUUGGCUCAGGGGAAUAACUGCUGUACUAGGAGAGACAUUGUGAGCAGAGUAGCUGGAUGUAGGAUGCACACAAGGCUUCCACUUCAGACAGGCUGGGAUGUCCAUUGAUUAUACAUCCCCAGAAGUGAUAUCCCAGUUGUGCGAUCCCUUGUGUUACUCCUAGCGACGGAAGGCUACCCAGGGACAGCUUGUUAGUGCCCAAGAUAGAACAAUCAGAAGCCUGGAGCUGCCUCCAGAGAUAUUCCUCGUGCUGCUCUGUUCCUCCUCCUUUGCUCUCCCAGGCUCCUGCAGUUGGCUGAGCAAGCUAAAUCAAAGUCUAUUCCACAUCUUACCCUUUUCCUCAAAGGGCUAUGCACCCAGAGGUGUUCCUGAGAUUCAGAGGGGCUACAGAAGCAUAUUGGAGAGCCUGACAGUACUGGAAGCACCUAUACUGAUGGCAGUUGCAUGGAGAGGAACAGUAUAUACACACAAUGUACUUAUUGCCCUUGAUCACUGGGGAGAUACAGGGCAAAGCGUGAGAGGCUUUUGACGUUAAAGGGAAGGACUAGCAUCACCGAGUGACUGAAGAGACAAACUGCAAUAGGAACCAAAUCCUCACCUUGCAACUCCUUCACAGCCAGAUCUGCAGAGGGAACACAGAGAUGGCCUCAUAAAGAAAACAGACAGCAGACAUAUCAUGAAAUCUUCACAGUUUAAGAGCCCUUUGAUCUUCCUUUCUCCAACCCCCAGCACAAAACUACCUCACUGCAACAAACAUGGUGUGAAAUAAAGAAUCAUGAAUAAAGUCUCAUCAGAAGAAAUCCCCAAAACAGGCAAAAAUUCAUCAAACAGUUGAUCCAGGAAUAAAGAGCAUUCUCAGCAUUUGCAAGCCAACACAGACAAGCCCCUCAUGCUUUGGAGGUAUAAAGAGAAGUGGAGUGGGAAGUUGCAGACCAGCAGCAUUGACUGAUCAUUCAGACAAGACCUGUAGAAUAAAGCUAGAAGCUACCAGAAUUACCUUCUUCAUCAAGAUCUCUCUCAGAUGCUGUGGGUUCAAAUAAAACUUUCCUGGGCUUC